rnacentral:rRNA from 1 species
AUACGGGGGGAGCAAGCGUUGUCCGGAAUUACUGGGCGUAAAGGGCGUGUAGGCGGCUUGAUAAGUUAGAUGUGAAAGCCUUCUGCUUAACGGAAGAAUUGCAUUUGAUACUGUCAGGCUUGAGUUCGAGAGAGGGUAGUGGAAUUCCCAGUGUAGCGGUGAAAUGCGUAGAUAUUGGGAAGAACACCAGUAGCGAAGGCGGCUACCUGGCUCGUAACUGACGCUAAUGCGCGAAAGCGUGGGGAGCAAACAGGAUUAGAAACCCGAGUAGUCC